GGAGUUAGCCGGUGCUUCUUCUGUGAGUGAUGUCCUUCCUGCCGGCUAUUAACCCGCAGGCCUUCUUUCCUCACUGAAAGUGCUUUACAACCCGAAGGCCUUCUUCACACACGCGGCAUGGCUGGAUCAGGGUUGCCCCCAUUGUCCAAUAUUCCCCACUGCUGCCUCCCGUAGGAGUCUGGGCCGUGUCUCAGUCCCAGUGUGGCUGAUCAUCCUCUCAGACCAGCUACGGAUCGUCGCCUUGGUGAGCCGUUACCUCACCAACCAGCUAAUCCGACAUAGGCUCAUCCGAUACGCGCCGAGGCCCGAAGGUCCCCCGCUUUCCCCCGUAGGGCGUAUGCGGUAUUAGCCUGGGUUUCCCCAGGUUAUCCCCCACUACCCGGGCAGAUUCCUAUGCAUUACUCACCCGUCCGCCGCUCGCCACCAGGGAGCAAGCUCCCCGUGCUGCCGCUCGACUUGCAUGUGUAGCUCGCCGCCACGCGUCAUCUGAGCAUGAUACAACUACUGA
rnacentral:rRNA from 1 species